GUAGAAGCAAACAAAAUUGGGGAAGGUUAAAGACAGCUAUGCAAAGGGCUUGUGCAAUCGUGGGUUGUUAUAGUGAUGAGAAUAUUAUCUGGGAGCAUUCCGUGGGUGACUAUGAUGAUUUUGCAUAAAAAGUCAACCUUGCUACAAAAGGUUGAAAGUCGUAGGAGAUUUCGUAUCAUCCGUUCCUGGGAUCAAGAUGGGUAUCGUGUUGCAGAGGUUGAAUGGAUACAAGAUAUUUAGCCACCAGGAUGAACAAGUGAAAGAGAGACUGUAAGUUCACUAAAAUUUUGUUAUGAAUGUGUUUGUAAGCUCAGUGUCAUGUUGGAUAGAAUGCUAGUUUAUUUGACUAUCUGCAUGCAUAUGAGAUUUUUUUUUGGGUGUAUAAUGGUGGUAAUGGGGCUUGCACUUAAGAUUCCAUGCAAACUACUAUAACUUCCACUGUUUGGUCGACCCUAGUGAUUUGAAUAAUGAGAUCUUUGAUUGCCCUUCAAGUUUA